GUUUUUUUUUGGUUUUGGGUUAGAAAAAUCGAAAUCUU
rnacentral:sRNA from 1 species